CCUACUGGUGGCUGCAGUGGGGGAUAUUGCACAAUGGGGGAAACCCUGAUGCAGCGACGCCGCGUGUGGGAAGACGGUCCUCUGGAUUGUAAACCACUGUCCCCAGGGACGAAGAUGACGGUACCUGGGGAGGAAGCUCCGGCUAACUACGUGCCAGCAGCCGCGGUAAUACGUAGGGAGCGAGCGUUGUCCGGAAUUACUGGGGGUAAAGGGAGCGUAGGCGGGGAUGAAAGGUGGGUGUCAAAACUACCGGCUCAACUGGUAGUCGAACUCAAAACUGCAGCUCGUGAGUGAAGUAGAGGCAGGCGGAAUUCCUAGUGUAGCGGUGAAAUGCGUAGAUAUUAGGAGGAACACCAGUGGCGAAGGCGGCCUGCUGGGCUUUUACUGACGCUGAGGCUCGAAAGUGUGGGGAGCAAACAGGAUUAGAUACCCUUGUAGUC
rnacentral:rRNA from 1 species